rnacentral:rRNA from 1 species
UACGUAGGGACCAAGCGUUGUUCGGAUUUACUGGGCGUAAAGGGUGUGUAGGUGGCGCGCUAAGUCGGGUGUGAAAUUUCGGAGCUUAACUCCGAAACUGCAUUCGAUACUGGCGUGCUUGAGGACUGGAGAGGAGACUGGAAUUCAUGGUGUAGCAGUGAAAUGCGUAGAGAUCAUGAGGAAGACCAGUGGCGAAGGCGGGUCUCUGGACAGUUCCUGACACUGAGACACGAAGGCCAGGGGAGCAAACGGG